AGCCUCCCAAAGCACUGGGAGUGUGAUGACUAGGUUUUCACGUGUGAGAUAUGCCUCACUCAAACCUCGUUACAACACUGGCACAUUGCCUGUCGGAUG
rfam:Pan troglodytes isolate Yerkes chimp pedigree #C0471 (Clint) chromosome 7, whole genome shotgun sequence.